GAUGAACGCUGGCGGCGUGCCUAAUACAUGCAAGUCGAGCGAACAGAUGAGGAGCUUGCUCCUCUGACGUUAGCGGCGGACGGGUGAGUAACACGUGGAUAACCUACCUAUAAGACUGGGAUAACUUCGGGAAACCGGAGCUAAUACCGGAUAAUAUAUUGAACCGCAUGGUUCAAUAGUGAAAGACGGUUUUGCUGUCACUUAUAGAUGGAUCCGCGCCGCAUUAGCUAGUUGGUAAGGUAACGGCUUACCAAGGCAACGAUGCGUAGCUGACCUGAGAGGGUGAUCAGCCACACUGGAACUGAGACACGGUCCAGACUCCUACGGGAGGCAGCAGUAGGGAAUAUUCCGCAAUGGGCGAAAGCUUGACGGAGCAACGCCGCGUGAGUGAUGAAGGUCUUCGGAUCGUAAAACUCUGUUAUUAGGGAAGAACAAAUGUGUAAGUAACUAUGCACGUCUUGACGGUACCUAAUCAGAAAGCCACGGCUAACUACGUG
rnacentral:rRNA from 1 species